UGCCUGCGUUGUUUGGGCUGUGCAGAAGCUAGCUUGUUACAUCGCCGGUUCUAGGUUCACAAUAGAGACUGAUCACUGUCCCCUCACAUGGCUACAGUCCAUGUCAUC